rnacentral:rRNA from 1 species
CUACGGGUUGCACCAGUGAGGAAUAUUGCACAAUGGGGGGAACCCUGAUGCAGCAACGCCGCGUGGAGGAUGACGCAUUUCGGUGUGUAAACUCCUUUUAUAUGUCAAGAAAAUGACGGUAGCAUAUGAAUAAGCACCGGCUAACUCCGUGCCAGCAGCCGCGGUAAUACGGAGGGUGCAAGCGUUACUCGGAAUCACUGGGCGUAAAGGACGCGUAGGCGGGUUGGAAAGUCAGGUGUGAAAUCCUACAGCUUAACUGUAGAACUGCACUUGAAACUUCUAAUCUAGAGUAUGGGAGGGGGAGAUGGAAUUAGUGGUGUAGGGGUAAAUCCGUAGAUAUCACUAGGAAUACCUAAAGCGAAGGCGAUCUCCUGGAACAUUACUGACGCUAAGGCGUGAAAGCAUGGGGAGCAAACAGGAUUAGAUACCCGCGUAGUC